rnacentral:rRNA from 2 species
AGCUCUGCGAGUUUGCUCCCAUAUUGUUGCAGUUAAAACGCUCGUAGUCAGAACUGCCUGCAAAGGCGUACGAACAUCUGUUCGUUCACUGUGAACAAAUCAGGACGCUUAGUGUAUGGUUUUAGGAAUGACUUAGCGCAGUAUGAUAUCUUUACCUUUGGUAAGAUCAAUGAGAGCCACCGGGGGUAGAUCUAUUUCAUGGCGAACGGUGGAAUGUUUUGACCCAUGAGAGAGAAACGAAGGCGAAAGCAUCUACCUAGAGGGUUUCUG